CCCUGGACCCGUACUGUCGCUCAUGCACGAAAGUGUGGGGAGCAAGCAGGAUUAGAUCCCUGGUAGUCCUCGCCAUAUAUGAUCUCAACUGGUUUUGGGAGGAUUUCUUCUCAGUUACGAAGCUAACGCGUGAAGUUGUCCCCGUGGGGAGUACGGCGGCAAGGUUGAAACUCAAAGGAAUUGACGGGGACCCGCCCAAGCGGUGGAUGAUGUGGUUUAAUUCGAUGCAACGCGAAAACCCUUACUUACCCUUGACAUGUCAGAGAUCCGGCAGAGAUGUGGGAGUGCUCGAAAGAGAAUAUGAACACAGGUGGUGCAUGGCCGUGGUCAGCUCGUGUCGUGAGAUGUUGGGUUAAGUCCCGCAACGAGCGCAACCCUUGUCAUUAGUUUCUACGAAAGGGCACUCUAAUGAGAUUGCCGGUGACAAACCGGAGGAAGGUGGGGAUGACGUCAGGUCAUCAUGGCCGUUAUGGGUAGGGCUACACACGUCAUACAAUGGCCGGUACAGAGGGCUGCCAACCCGCGAGGGGGAGAUAAUCCCAUAAAACCGGUUGUAGUCCGGAUCGUAGUCUGUAACUCGAUUUCGCGAAGUGGGAAUCGCUAGUAAUCGCGGAUCAUCUUGCCGCGGUGAAUACGUUCCCGGGUCUGGUACACACCGCCCGUCACACCAUGGGAGCGGGUUCCCCCAGAAGUACUUAGCCUAACCGCAAGGAGGGGGAUUACCACGGCAGGGUUCCGUGAGUGGGGUGAAGUCG
rnacentral:rRNA from 1 species